rnacentral:lncRNA from 10 species
AUUAUGUGGGGCCAGGAUAUCAUGGCUGUUAAAUGACUGCCCAUGUGACACUGGGCAGGGAGUGCCUCUGAUACUAGGCAGGCUAGAGAUGAUGUUUUUGGAACCAGGAGGGAAAAGCUAGAAAAAGUGGCAUAAAUAUAGGAAAAGAAUAGGAAUUUCAAGAAUUGAGUAUAGUCUUAAAUGUUGACCAAAAAAAAGUAAAUUGAGCCCUGAAAAAUGAUAGAAUUUUCCAAUUAGGUUACUAAUGAUUUUACCAGCCUGGCCAACAUGGUGAAACCCCAUCUCUACUAAAAAUAUAAUCUCUGCUUUUAUAAUAAAAAUAAAGCUCAGCUCCUCUGAGGUUGACACUGAAAAAGAGUAACUGCAGGGGCCAGAAGCAGAGAGACCAACAAACCCUGGCCCCUGCCCUGGAGAUUCAUCUUUCUCCCGAGACUCUCCCUCUGAUGAUUUUGGCUCCAUCGAAGCCUCCUUGGGUCAUUUCUUCCUUCAUAUCUGAGGUACAGGCAAUGGGAUGACAAAAGGCAUUUUUCAACAUCUCUCCACAACUAAGUCAAAGCUGAAAAGUUUAAAGGACUUUUCUGAACAUGAGGGCAAUGUUUCCCAACCUUUUGAGGUCAUAGAAACUGCUCUGGACACCAGUUUAAAUAUACAGAAUCUUGGGGGACAUGGAUUUUGAAGGUCUGCAGUGGGAGCCUGGGAAAAGGUAUUUUAAAGUAAUACCGGUUACCCUUAAAUUUCUGCAAGUUCUAGUAUCACUGUGCUGGCAAGUAACAAAGAGAAAUAAACACAGUAGCAUAAAGCCUGGCAUGUAGCCUGGCUCACAAAAAAAAAACUUUUUAUUUUUUGAGACAGUGUCUUGCUCAGUUGCCCAGGCUGGAGUGCAGUGGUGCAGUCAUAGCUCACUGCAGCUUCUAACUCCUGGGCUCAAGUGAUCCACCUUCCUCAGCCUCCUGAGUAGCUGGGACUACAGGUGCAUGUCACCAGGACCAGCUAAUUUUUUUUUAACUUUUUUUUUUUUUUUUUUGUAGAGACAAGGUCUCACUAGGUGGUCCAGGCUGGUCUCAAACUUCUGGCCUCAAGCAAUCCUCCCACCUUGGCCUCCCAAAGUGCUGGGAUUAUAGGCAUGAGCCACUGUGCCCAGCAGUUGUUAGUUCUUUACCAGCACAUGAUGUAAGUCUUCCCGACACAGACAAGGUCUAGCUUGGCCCGCCAGACUGCUUCUGCCUUGUUGUCCCUCCAGCAGUGAGUGGCAGAAUGAUGGCAGCCAGCUUUCUCCCACAGGCUGCUCAGUCUGACUACGCAUUAAAUUCCCAGUUUGGAUGAUAAAUUACAUAGUCACCCCGUCUGUGAACAAAAGAGCUAGAACAAAAAUACAACUCCACAAAAGCAAGAAGUGGACUGCCAACAACUUAAUAACUUCCAUGGAUCAAGGAAAUCAUGCUGUGACACCACACACAUCAUUUCAACUCAUCCUCACAGCAACCCCACAAGGGAAUUUUGGAGACAUGAAUUUUGCAGAUAAGGAAAGUAACAGGGUGAAGUGAGUUGGCCAGGGUCAUCCAACUAUGAGGAACAGAGGUAGGGUCAAAGAUCCAUCUGCAUGAGCCCAGCUCCUGCUCUAGAUGGGCCUACCUGCCUCCUCAGGGCAUGUGGUCACCUCACCCACCAAUUACUGACUGCGUUAAGUUUUACCAAGAAAGUUGCUUGAUUU